CAGCCAGUUAACUUAUCUUUUACGGUGUUUCUGUAGAAAUUGUGAAAAGCUGGCAAUAGUCAUGCCAUACUACAAGCCCUGAGGACAACAGUCAUUAUGGUUCCUGAAAAUGGCUACAUUA
ensembl:snoRNA Gm22772 predicted gene, 22772